rnacentral:rRNA from 1 species
GACGAACGCUGGCGGCGUGCCUAAUACAUGCAAGUCGAACGAGAGCGACCGGUGCUUGCACUGGUCAAUCUAGUGGCGAACGGGUGAGUAACACGUGGGUAACCUGCCCAUCAGAGGGGGAUAACAUCCGGAAACGGAUGCUAAAACCGCAUAGGUCUUCGAGCCGCAUGGCUUGAAGAGGAAAAGAGGCGCAAGCUUCUGCUGAUGGAUGGACCCGCGGUGCAUUAGCUAGUUGGUGAGGUAACGGCUCACCAAGGCCGUGAUGCAUAGCCGACCUGGGAGGGUGAUCGGCCACAUUGGGACUGAGACACGGCCCAAACUCCUACGGGAGGCAGCAGUAGGGAAUCUUCCGCAAUGGACGCAAGUCUGACGGAGCAACGCCGCGUGAGUGAAGAAGGUUUUCGGAUCGUAAAACUCUGUUGUUAGAGAAGAACAAGUGCUAGAGUAACUGUUAGCGCCUUGACGGUAGCUAACCAGAAAGCCACGGCUAACUACGUG